rnacentral:tRNA from 1 species
UUCUUGCUAGUAUAUCGGUAGAACACUCCCCUGUCAGCUGAUUCAGCAAGUGCGGGAGAGGGCUGGGUUCGAUUCCCAGGCAGGAAG